UACGGAGGGUGCAAGCGUUGCUCGGAAUUAUUGGGCGUAAAGGGUAGGUAGGUGGUCUCGUUUGUCUGGGGUGAAAGCCUUGAGCUUAACUCAAGAAGUGCCCCAGAAACGGCGAGACUGGAGUCUUGGAGAGGGUCGUGGAAUUCCGGGUGUAGUGGUGAAAUGCGUAGAGAUCCGGAGGAACACCAGUGGCGAAGGCGACACGCUGGGCCGUACCUGACACUGAUGCGCGACAGCAUGGGGAGCAAACAGG
rnacentral:rRNA from 1 species